GUGAGUAAUGCAUAGGAAUCUACCUAGUAGUAUGGGAUAGCCACUAGAAAUGGUGGGUAAUACUGUAUAAUCCCUGCGGGGGAAAGAUUUAUCGCUAUUAGAUGAGCCUAUGUUAGAUUAGCUAGUUGGUAGGGUAAAGGCCUACCAAGGCAGUGAUCUAUAGCUGGUCUGAGAGGAUGAUCAGCCACACUGGAACUGAGAUACGGUCCAGACUCCUACGGGAGGCAGCAGUGGGGAAUAUUGGACAAUGGGCGCAAGCCUGAUCCAGCUAUGCCGCGUGAGUGAGGA
rnacentral:rRNA from 1 species